rnacentral:rRNA from 1 species
GACGAACGCUGGCGGCGUGCUUAACACAUGCCAGUCGAACGGAAAGGCCCUGCUUUUGUGGGGUGCUCGAGUGGCGAACGGGUGAGUAACACGUGAGUAACCUGCCCUUGACUUUGGGAUAACUUCGGGAAACUGGGGCUAAUACCGGAUAGGAGCUCCUGCUGCAUGGUGGGGGUUGGAAAGUUUCGGCGGUUGGGGAUGGACUCGCGGCUUAUCAGCUUGUUGGUGGGGUAGUGGCUUACCAAGGCUUUGACGGGUAGCCGGCCUGAGAGGGUGACCGGCCACAUUGGGACUGAGAUACGGCCCAGACUCCUACGGGAGGCAGCAGUGGGGAAUAUUGCACAAUGGGCGGAAGCCUGAUGCAGCAACGCCGCGUGCGGGAUGAUGGCCUUCGGGUUGUAAACCGCUUUCGCCUGUGACGAAGCGUGAGUGACGGUAAUGGGUAAAGAAGCACCGGCUAACUACGUG